AUGGGCCGCCGCCGCCGCCAACCCUCCUCACCGUCGCCGGCGGCGGAGCAUCCGCUAUCCACCCUGGACCUGCCCUACCGCAUCCCUCCCGACCACUUCUCCCUACAAGUCAACAGCCGCAAGCCAUGGAGGUUGGUCGACUGCCGCCACGGACGCGUGCUCCUCAAGAACAAUGAGAGGCGUCAGGUCAUUGUGUGGGACCCCAUCACCGGCGACCGCUCCCUCUUGUCCGUACCGCGGGAGUUUGACGACAUGCACACCGCGGCGGUGCUCUGCUCUGCCGGCGAGCAGGGCCACGCGCAUGGUGCCUGCCACUCGAGCUCUUUUAAAGUGGUCGUGGUGGACUGCUACGAGCACGACUAUGAUGCCGUUGCCUUCGCAAGUGUUUACUCUUCAGAGACUGGCGUAUGGGGUGAUCUCCUCUCAACACCGCUUCCAUAUAGUGGUAUUACUGUUGUUAAUCCCAGUACACUUGUUGGUAACACCCUUCACUGGUUGCUUUCUGGGUAUAGCGGCAUACUUGAGUUUGAUUUCGAUAGACAGACGCUAGCUGUGAUCAAUAGGCCACCAGGCGCUCGUUACAAUGACAGGGUUCAGAUCGUCCAGGUAGAUGAUAAUGGUGUUGGCGUCUCUGCUUUGUCGUGCGCCCACUGCCAGUCUGCCUACUGCUCCCACCAACCCUGUUUACAUAUCUGCGAUAGGAAGGUCGAUUGCUAUGGUGUUGCCGUAUGGGUGUUGCGGAAAUCGAUUGAUCUGCAGAAGCUACUUGGGUUGGGGUUUAAGAUUGAGAUGAAGAGGUCACGUAUACUGCGUUAUGCUGAGGAUGUUCGUGCAUUAUUUUUAUGGCUGCACUCAUCUCUCUUCAUGAUUCAGCUUGAGUCAAUGCAGCCCAAGGAGCUUUUCAAAAGCGAUAAUGUGUACACCUAUUAUCCUUUCACAAGUUUCUACAAUGAAGUACAGUCAGGUCAUAUCAGGCUAUAA
rnacentral:rRNA from 1 species